GCUGGGAGUGGUGGCGCAUGCCUGUAAUCCCAGCUACGUGGGAGGCUGAGGCAGGAGACUCUCUUGAACCCAGGAGGCGGAGGCUGCAGUGAGCCAAGAUCGCACCACUGCACUCCAGCCUGGGCAACAGAGUGAGACUCUGUCUCAA
ensembl:misc_RNA Metazoa_SRP Metazoan signal recognition particle RNA